GACGGUUUGGCCGAGUGGUCUAAGGCGCCAGAUUUAGGCUCUGGUCCGAAAGGCGUGGGUUCAAAUCCCACAGCCGUCA
rfam:Ipomoea nil DNA, scaffold: scaffold2791, cultivar: Tokyo-kokei standard.